rnacentral:lncRNA from 1 species
CCUGCACACACCUUCUUGCCUGCUGCCACAAAGACGUGUCUUGCUUCCCCUUCGCCAUCUGCCUUGAUUGUGAGGCCUCCCCAGCCACGUGGAACAACUUUGCUGCUCUAUUGCCAAACUACUCAUAUCCCCCUGUUACUGUGAAACUUGGUGAAAUUCCUCAGGGAUUUUGAGACAUCAAAGCAAAAAAGGAAAUGAAGCAAGAAUGAGCAGUAGUGGCUGUCUAUUGUGCUGGUUCAUCAUCAGAAACUUAAUUACAUAAGUGUAUCUGUGGAUGAGUGUUAAUAAACUUCCAUUCAAAUAAAAUAAAUCAAAAUUCUGCUACUCUUAGCAAUUAUAUUUUAAUUAAAAUCCUGAUCACAGUUAGUAACUGUAGUUGUAUAGUUGACAAAAUAAUCACUAAAGGGUGUAAAUCAUCUAGAUACUUGUCUAACAUAGAGAACAUGAUAAUUAGUCCAUUUGAUAAUAGAUUAGAAGUUUCACAUAUGUCAUAAGAUGAACACAGGGUGGUUCUCAUUUUUUACUAUUCCAGAUAGGUACCAUUAUGAAGAGUAUGCCAAUUUUAUUAAGGUCCCACAAACUCAGUGUUACCUGACUUAAGGUAUUUUCUCUCUAAAGAAAUAAGGGCAUAAAUAUAUUGUUCUUAAAUAUCUUAAAUUAAAAUGUUCUAAUGUGGAAAAGCCAUCUUUCUGUGACACUCUCUGCCUCUCUUUCUUCCUCUCCCCUUCUCUCUCUCACACACCUAUAUGCACACACACACUCCACACUCACAAAAGCAUAUAAUUCCAACAAAACAAGGCAAAAUAUUGACCAAACCACUGAAUAACAUUCACUGGACCAACC